rnacentral:rRNA from 1 species
AUUGAACGCUGGCGGCAUGCCUUACACAUGCAAGUCGAACGGCAGCACGGGAGCUUGCUCCUGGUGGCGAGUGGCGAACGGGUGAGUAAUACAUCGGAACGUACCCUGAAGGUGGGGGAUAACGUAGCGAAAGUUACGCUAAUACCGCAUAUUCUGUGAGCAGGAAAGAGGGGGAUCGCAAGACCUCUUGCUUUAGGAGCGGCCGAUGUCGGAUUAGCUAGUUGGUGAGGUAAAGGCUCACCAAGGCGACGAUCCGUAGCGGGUCUGAGAGGAUGAUCCGCCACACUGGAACUGAGACACGGUCCAGAC